rnacentral:rRNA from 1 species
GACAGAGGGUGCAAACGUUGUUCGGAAUUACUGGGCGUAAAGCGCGUGUAGGCUGCUCGGAAAGUCGGAUGUGAAAUCUCCAGGCUCAACCUGGAGGGGUCAUUCGAAACUGCCAUGACUAGAGUUCGGUAGAGGAGUGCGGAAUUCCUGGUGGAGCGGUGAAAUGCGCAGAUAUCAGGAGGAACACCCGUAGCGAAGGCGGCACUCUGGGCCGAUACUGACGCUGAGGAGCGAAAGCGUGGGGAGCGAACAGG